rnacentral:rRNA from 1 species
UGGGGAAUAUUGCACAAUGGGCGGAAGCCUGAUGCAGCGACGCCGCGUGGGGGAUGAAGGCCUUCGGGUUGUAAACUCCUUUCGACAGGGACGAAGCUUUUGUGACGGUACCUGUAUAAGAAGCACCGGCUAACUACGUGCCAGCAGCCGCGGUAAUACGUAGGGUGCGAGCGUUGUCCGGAAUUACUGGGCGUAAAGAGCUCGUAGGUGGUUUGUCGCGUCGUCUGUGAAAUUCCGGGGCUUAACUCCGGGCGUGCAGGCGAUACGGGCUGACUUGAGUGCUGUAGGGGAGACUGGAAUUCCUGGUGUAGCGGUGAAAUGCGCAGAUAUCAGGAGGAACACCGAUGGCGAAGGCAGGUCUCUGGGCAGUAGCUGACGCUGAGGAGCGAAAGCAUGGGUAGCGAACAGGAUUAGAUACCCUGGUAGUCCAUGCCGUAAACGGUGGGCGCUAGGUGUAGGGGGCUUCCACGUCUUCUGUGCCGUAGCUAACGCAUUAAGCGCCCCGCCUGGGGAGUACGGCCGCAAGGCUA